rnacentral:rRNA from 1 species
GCAUCGUAGAGGGUGAAAAUCCCGUACUAGCCAUGGAAGUACCGUGCUUUGUGAUACACGUUCCAAGAGUCGAGUAGUUUGGGAUUGCUGCUCAAAGUGGGUGGUAGACUCCAUCUAAAGCUAAAUAUCGGGGAGAGACCGAUAGCGAACAAGUACCGUGAGGGAAAGAUGAAAAGCACUUUGGAAAGAGAGUUAAAAGUACGUGAAAUUGU